rnacentral:rRNA from 1 species
GAUGAACGCUGACAGAAUGCUUAACACAUGCAAGUCUUUGGCGAAGCUGUGCUUGCACAGCCUAGCCAAGGCGGACGGGUGAGUAACGCGUAAGGAACUUGCCCUGCAGUCAGGGAUAACAGACGGAAACGACUGAUAAGACCUGGUAAAGUCAGGCGGACUCAUGUCCAGCCUGAUGAAAAGAGAUGCUGCAGGAGAGCCUUGCGUCCUAUUAGCUUGUUGGUGGGGUAACGGCCCACCAAGGCGAUGGUAGGUAGCCGGCCUGAGAGGGUGGACGGCCACAAGGGGACUGAGAUACGGCCCUUACUCCUACGGGAGGCAGCAGUGGGGAAUAUUGGACAAUGGGGGCAACCCUGAUCCAGCAAUUCUGUGUGCACGAUGAAGGUUUUCGGAUUGUAAAGUGCUUUCAGCAGGGAAGAAAAAAUGACGGUACCUGCAGAAGAAGCGACGGCUAAAUACGUG